AGCGAAAUAAUAGUAGCGAAGUUCCUGAUGUCACACUGCCAAGAAAAGCUUCUAGUGAGAAAACAACUGCCCGUACCGUAAACCGACACAGGUAGUCGAGGAGAGUAUCCUAAGGUGAGCGAGCGAACUCUCGUUAAGGAACUCGGCAAAAUGACCCCGUAACUUCGGGAGAAGGGGUGCUGACUUCGGUCAGCCGCAGUGAAUAGGCCCAAGCGACUGUUUAUCAAAAACACAGGUCUCUGCAAAAUCGUAAGAUGAAGUAUAGGGGCUGACGCCUGCCCGGUGCUGGAAGGUUAAGAGGAUGGGUUAGCUUCGGCGAAGCUCAGAAUUGAAGCCCCAGUAAACGGCGGCCGUAACUAUAACGGUCCUAAGGUAGCGAAAUUCCUUGUCGGGUAAGUUCCGACCCGCACGAAAGGCGUAACGAUUUGGGCACUGUCUCAACGAGAGACUCGGUGAAAUUUUAGUACCUGUGAAGAUGCAGGUUACCCGCGACAGGACGGAAAGACCCCAUGGAGCUUUACUGUAGUUUGAUAUUGAGUGUUUGUACCACAUGUACAGGAUAGGUAGGAGCCGAUGAGACCGGAACGCUAG
rnacentral:rRNA from 1 species